CCAGGAUCAAUCUGAAUCCAGCAGUGCUGAGAAAACCCAAGAGCUACAUGGCUGACAUUUCCCAUCAGAGAGCCAACAGGGCCCCUGGCUUUGCCUUCCCGCCCACCAGCCCUGGUUAAUGGAGCUUUUGUUCUGCCUGAUGCUGCCUUGCUAAUCAGAGUGUAUCAUAUGGGAGCUAUCAGGAGAGUGGGGCCUGCUUCAAGAAGGAACACAGGUUGCCUUUAGAGUUGGCUACAAAACUUAGAGCUUGGUGAUGGCUCAGGCACAAAAGAGCUGGCUGUACUUGAGGCUGAUUUCCAUUCUACCUGUGACUAUUACGUUCAAGGUAGUGAACCCUUGAAGCCUCUGGCAUCCUGAUCCCGUAAUUACCGCAGAGA